GACGAACGCUGGCGGCGUGCUUAACACAUGCAAGUCGAACGGAAAGGCCCUUUUGUUGGUACGCGCUUGGGGGACGGGCGGGUAAGUAAUAAGUAAGUAGCCCUCCCCUUACGGUUAAAUAACGGCAAGUGACGGGAAUACAGAAUAGAUAGCCUUGCCUCCUGCAUGGGGUGGGUUGGAUAGUGUCGGCGGGUUUGGAUGCACUCGCUGGUUGUCAGCUUGUUGGGGGGGGAGUGGCUUAGCAAUGCUUUGACGGGUGGCCGGACUGGGGGGGCGACCGGCCACAUUGGGGCUGAGAUACGGCCCAGACUCCUACGGGAGGCAGCAGUGGGGAAUAUUGCCCAAUGGGCGGGAGCCUGAUGCAGCAACGCCGCGUGCGGGAUGACGGGCUUCGGGUUGGAAACCGCUUUCAGCAGGGGCGAAGCUUGUGGUGACGGUACCUGCAGAAGAAGCACCGGCUAACUACGUG
rnacentral:rRNA from 1 species